UAUAUAUAUAAAUAAAAGGUUUGAACAUAAAAAAAAUACUUAUAGUUUUCCCUUCUAAAUUUCUAAUAACAACCAAAAAGACAGGUGUGUGUCUUGUAAAUUUUGGCAGGCAAAUGUAAACAUCAGUAACGAAGUAGAUAAUACACUGGCGGAUCGCAAGAGAUUGUUUAUUGAGCUUUUGUUGGGUGGGUUUUAUAUUAAGGAGCUCGACAACGACUAUAGGUGGCGCAACCACGUUUUGCAGGGUUUGAUGGUCGGUCGUAGGUAACGUAAGGUGAGGUUGGAGGAGAAUUCCGGCCAGGCUGGCCAGCCCAAGAUGGCGCUGCCGUUGCUGUACUUCCUCUUAUUCCCGCUUUGCUUUGUCCAUUGUCAUCUUUUGCAAUUCCAAACCAUUGGAAGUUGGAGAUAUAUUUAAAAGAUACAAGCAAAUCACAAUGCGUUAAGAAAAGAAGUUCGUCACGUACCUUGAAUCUUCAAUAGUCUGCGGCUGACUACUCCUUGCGGGAUGAAGAUGGCUGAUGCCAAAAGGAAGCAGCAAAGGAUCAGAGAAAAUGGAGGUUUGGUUACCAUUACUUUCUAUGUUGGGUGCCUCCCAAUUCCCGAAUCCAAUACUAUUAUGUUUCUGAUAUGCACUUCUUAUUGACUCACACCAAGCUUUAAAUACUAUGCCGAUGAUU
rnacentral:lncRNA from 1 species